rnacentral:rRNA from 1 species
UACGUAGGGGCCGAGCGUUGUCCGGAGUUAUUGGGCGUAAAGCGCGCGCAGGCGGCCUCGCGCGCCCGACGUGAAAGCCCCCGGCUUAACCGGGGAGGGUCGUUGGGGACGGCGGGGCUUGAGGCGGGAGAGGUCGGUGGAAUUCCCGGUGUAGUGGUGAAAUGCGUAGAGAUCGGGAGGAACACCUGUGGCGAAGGCGGCCGACUGGGCCGACCCUGACGCUGAGGCGCGAAGGCGUGGGGAGCGAACGGG